UAGGGAAUCUUCCGCAAUGGGCGAAAGCCUGACGGAGCAACGCCGCGUGAGUGAUGAAGGUCUUCGGAUCGUAAAACUCUGUUAUUAGGGAAGAACAAAUGUGUAAGUAACUAUGCACGUCUUGACGGUACCUAAUCAGAAAGCCACGGCUAACUACGUGCCAGCAGCCGCGGUAAUACGUAGGUGGCAAGCGUUAUCCGGAAUUAUUGGGCGUAAAGCGCGCGUAGGCGGUUUUUUAAGUCUGAUGUGAAAGCCCACGGCUCAACCGUGGAGGGUCAUUGGAAACUGGAAAACUUGAGUGCAGAAGAGGAAAGUGGAAUUCCAUGUGUAGCGGUGAAAUGCGCAGAGAUAUGGAGGAACACCAGUGGCCAAGGCGACUUUCUGGUCUGUAACUGACGCUGAUGUGCGAAAGCGUGGGGAUCAAACAGG
rnacentral:rRNA from 1 species